rnacentral:rRNA from 1 species
CAGCCGCGGUAAUACGUAGGUGGCAAGCGUUGUCCGGAAUUAUUGGGCGUAAAGCGCGCGCAGGCGGUUUCUUAAGUCUGAUGUGAAAGCCCCCGGCUCAACCGGGGAGGGUCAUUGGAAACUGGGGAACUUGAGUGCAGAAGAGGAGAGUGGAAUUCCACGUGUAGCGGUGAAAUGCGUAGAGAUGUGGAGGAACACCAGUGGCGAAGGCGACUCUCUGGUCUGUAACUGACGCUGAGGCGCGAAAGCGUGGGGAGCGAACAGGAUUAGAUACCCUGGUAGUCCACGCCGUAAACGAUGAGUGCUAAGUGUUAGAGGGUUUCCGCCCUUUAGUGCUGCAGCAAACGCAUUAAGCACUCCGCCUGGGGAGUACGGUCGCAAGACUGAAACUCAAAGGAAUUGACGGGGGCCCGCACAAGCGGUGGAGCAUGUGGUUUAAUUCGAAGCAACGCGAAGAACCUUACCAGGUCUUGACAUCCUCUGACAACCCUAGAGAUAGGGCUUCCCCUUCGGGGGCAGAGUGACAGGUGGUGCAUGGUUGUCGUCAGCUCGUGUCGUGAGAUGUUGGGUUAAGUCCCGCAACGAGCGCAACCCUUGAUCUUAGUUGCCAGCAUUCAGUUGGGCACUCUAAGGUGACUGCCGGUGACAAACCGGAGGAAGGUGGGGAUGACGUCAAAUCAUCAUGCCCCUUAUGACCUGGGCUA